GUGCUCACUUUGGCAGGACAUAUGUUCAAGUUGGAAUAACACAGAGAGGAUUAGCAUGGCACUGGGCAAGGAUGACAUGCAGACUCAAGAAGUAUGUGACAUUUAA
ensembl:snRNA U6 U6 spliceosomal RNA